UUUUGCCUGGAGCCCUGUUCCAAAUUGUUCUUUGGCUAUGCCCCAUGUUUGUGCAAUGGCUCAGACCGGUUUUUCCUCUUUUCGCAGCUUCAAAAUGGCUUGCUUUUCUCCCAUAGACAGCUCUCUGGUCUCCAUGUCGGUUUAUUCUUUUUAACAACAAAUGCUGUCUCCACAGGUGAAACCCAGGGCUCAAACCAAGAGAAGACAUUCAGAGCUAUUCAUUCUUUAAAGUCCAUUUAACAAGUUUCCUUCUGCUUCUGAGUUCAAAGAGCUUUUUCUCAUCCCCAUCCUGGAGCGCCCCUACAGCUGCCUGUUUGGUACAUUCCUCUACAGCAGUGAGCAGGAGAGAAUGGAAAAGGAAGUACAGGGUAAAACGGUCACUGCGGUCCUACAUUAAGUCAGCCGGAGGACUUCACUAACCCGUUCUAUGUGGACUGUAAAAACCAGGUGCUGUAUCCACCGGCCAGUCUCACACAUCUGGAGCUCUGGGUGGGUUAUUAUGUGCGCUGGAACCCACGCAUGAGACCUCAGGUGCUUAUACUGCAAACCACACUCUAUGAAAUUCUGGGGAAAUGCUCAAAAAUAGUGCUUCCAAUAUAUACCAAAAUACCCAGUUACUUGUAUAACUGAACAGUGUCACUUCAGACACAUGAUGAAUGUCACUUUUUAUUACUAGAUGUUUCUGGGUUUUAACACCAAGUUUGGUUUAAAAAAACUAAUCCAUUUGUAUCAGCACACAGCUAAAAAAACACAAAAGCUGGAGUAAUGGGUCGGUAAGCAUAAAAAGUGCCGUACACAGUGGAACUGGACACACGAGGAUCUCUGACACUGUUGACUCUUCAGUGGUUCCAUUUUCAGUUCUAGUUUGUAGGUACAGGUUUCAGUCUUCAACAACAUUGUAGUUUUCUUUUUAAAAUGCACUCCUUGGUUGUGCUCACUGCAUUACAAACUCAAAUCCAGCAUUGUGAGAUUAUUUUUUUUA